AGUGAACGCUGGCGGCGUGCUUAACACAUGCAAGUCGAGCGAGAUUUUACAGCACACCGUAAAGUCUAGCGGCAAACGGGUGAGUAACACGUAGGAAAUCUACCCUGAAAUGAGGAAUACCCUCGAGAAAUCGAGGCUAAUACCUCAUAAGACCACAGCCCGGCAUCGGGCAGGGGUCAAAGCAGUAAUGCGUUGCGGGAUGAUCCUGCGUCCUAUCAUCUAGUUGGCGGGGUAAUGGCCCACCAAGGCUAAGACGGGUAGCCGGCCUGAAAGGGCGAUCGGCCACAAUGGAACUGAGACACGGUCCAUACUCCUACGGGAGGCAGCAGUGGGGAAUUUUGGACAAUGGGCGAAAGCCUGAUCCAGCGACGCCGCGUGGAGGAUGAAGGUCUUCGGAUUGUAAACUCCUUUUGGAGGGGACGAAAAAAAUGACGGUACCCUCAGAAAAAGCCACGGCUAACUACGUGCCAGCAGCCGCCGCAG
rnacentral:rRNA from 1 species